rnacentral:rRNA from 1 species
ACGUCAAGUCCUCAUGGCCCUUACGGGCUGGGCUACACACGUGCUACAAUGGCGGUGACAGCGGGGAGCGAUGGGGCGACCCUGAGCGAAUCCCAAAAAGCCGUCUCAGUUCGGAUUGCGCUCUGCAACUCGAGCGCAUGAAGGCGGAAUCGCUAGUAAUCGCGGAUCAGCAUGCCGCGGUGAAUACGUUCCCGGGCCUU